GGGCAGAAAAUCAACAGAAGAACCACCCAGAAGAGUUUCCAGAAGCUUCACGUGGAUAAAAGGAAACCAGAGAAUUUCAGCAAGGAAAGUGACCAUUUAUUAAUAUACAGCCGCGAGGGAAAUCCGGAUGAGAUGGGGUUUCACCAUGUUGGCCAGGCUGUCCUGGAACUCCCGACUUCAAGCGACCCACCAGCUUCGGCUUCUCAGAGUUCUGGGAUUACAGAGAAAAUGGCAGCACACAUAGCAGAAGGGCAUGGGAGAGGGAAGUCUGUGGAACACACAAAUAUGAAAGUGUAAAAACAUCUGCAUUCGGCACUCUCCUCCCUCAUCAUCUUUACAUCGCAUCUUUCACGGCUGACAAAUGGAAACAUGACAAACUUAGCUGUGAAUGUGAGGCCUCUGGUUAACCAGAGAUAAUGGAGAUGGAUCGACUGGACUUUAUGAUGACAUCUUGCCACCAUGAAAUGGACAGAAGCCAAAGGGUUAGGAGAACAGGUGCCCAUCCUCCCUAAAGGCCUGAUAGUGCCUUUUAUGCAGAUAAGGAGAAACAUGGUCUUGUUUUGAUUAAAAAUGACCUUAAUUAAGUCUGUUAUUCUCAACAUAGUAAAUACCCACAGCAGGAAAGCAAAUACAGUAAAAUAGAGUGUUAAUAAUAAAAAUGUAGAGUCCUCAUAGAAGGAAUGCUACUCUGGCAGAAACCCAUCUAAUUUUGGUUAUACAAAUAAAAGUAGUUUUUAAAAAAUUUACAAGCUUAGAAAUGGUAAUACUGCAAAUACCUUUACAAUUUUGUUUCCUAUAAUAUACCUUACAGAAAAAUUUUCCAAACCAGUCUAUCACCAUUCAUCCUCUGAGAGGCAGAAAUCCUGGCCAAGGUUGGCUGCAGGGUGGCAAUUUGGUCACACAUGGUCUUCUUGGUGAUUUUUAGCUCAAACAGACAAAACAGCAAAUGGUGAACCUUGAUCAGACUCCAGCUGAAUGCCCUGGAGGUCUUAGGCUACAGAUUCUGUCUGCUGUCAUUAUGCCUGGAACAUUUUGGCUUUAGUGACUCUUGAUGUGGUUGGAUGCUGGUCAGGAGACCCAGGGUCUAGUGCCACCUCUCCUGCUAGCUGAAAGUGACAUCUUGAGUCACACAGCUGUGCAGUCCUCGCAUGUCUCAUUUCAUUGCUAGGACCAAAUCAAUGUCUUGCACACUUCAGUCCAAGUCCUUCAAGUCCCACCCUAAGGAUUCUUAAAAUACCUGCACUACACAUGUUCUAUUAUUUAUUUAAUAUUGAUUUUAAACUGGACUUCAAUUAAUUCAUUUUUUAAAAAAUUUAACCUCUAAGUAACAAUAUCCAAAAAAUCACAGGCCUGAUAUGCUAGAGAUUUUAAAUAAAACAUUUGAGGCAAGCAUAUUAUUAAAAAUUGUAUAAUAAAAUUACAGGUAUAGUGGUAUGUGCCUAUAGUUUCAGCUACCUGGGAGGCUAAGGCAAGAGGAUUGCUUCAGUUGCUCAGGAGUUUGAGACCAGACUGGUUAAUAUAUUGAGACCCUGUCUCUAUUUUUAAAAGAUACAUAAUAAAAUCCAAAACAAUCUUUAAUGUUAUUUAUAGAAUAUAAAGAUAAUUUUCUUUCUUUUGCUCAUUUAAAAGAAAUGUUUGCUGUAUAAUUUAGUUUCAAUCAAUUAGUAAGAAAAACAUGAUUUAUCCACAUAUAUAUUGUGUUUGAAACUUUAACACAGUUAAAAUAUAAUAUAGGAGACUCAUGGCCGGGUGCGGUGGCUCACGCCUGUAAUCCCAGCACUAUGGGAGGCCAAGACAGGUGGAUCACGAGGUCAGGAGAUCGAGACCAUCCUGGCUAACAGGGUGAAACCCCAUCUCCACUAAAAAUACAAAAAAAUUAGCCGGGUGUGGUGGCGGGCGCCUGCAGUCCCAGCCACUCAGGAGGCUGAGGCAGGAAAAUGGCGUGAACCCAGGAGGUGGAGCUUGCAGUGAGCCGAGAUCACGCCACUACACUCCAUCCUGGGUGACUGAGCAACACUCU